ACGAACGCUGGCGGCGUGCUUAACCCAUGCAAGUCGAACGGAAAGGCCCUGCUUUUGUGGGGUGCUCGAGUGGCGAACGGGUGAGUAACACGUGAGUAACCUGCCCUUGACUUUGGGAUAACUUCAGGAAACUGGGGCUAAUACCGGAUAGGAGCUCCUGCUGCAUGGUGGGGGUUGGAAAGUUUCGGCGGUUGGGGAUGGACUCGCGGCUUAUCAGCUUGUUGGUGGGGUAGUGGCUUACCAAGGCUUUGACGGGUAGCCGGCCUGAGAGGGUGACCGGCCACAUUGGGACUGAGAUACGGCCCAGACUCCUACGGGAGGCAGCAGUGGGGAAUAUUGCACAAUGGGCGGAAGCCUGAUGCAGCGACGCCGCGUGCGGGAUGACGGCCUUCGGGUUGUAAACCGCUUUCGCCUGUGACGAAGCGUGAGUGACGGUAAUGGGUAAAGAAGCACCGGCUAACUACGUG
rnacentral:rRNA from 1 species